rnacentral:rRNA from 1 species
GACCUGAACUCAGUCGAGAU